ACGAACGCUGGCGGCAGGCCUAACACAUGCAAGUCGAACGGAUGUAGCAAUACAUUAGUGGCGCACGGGAGGAGUAACGCGUGGGAACCUACCUUUUGGUUCGGGAUAACGUCGGGAAACUGACGCUAAUACCGAAUAAGCCCUUCGGGGGAAAGAUUUAUCGCCGAUAGAUGGGCCCGCGUUAGAUUAGCUAGUUGGUGAGGGUAACGGCUCACCAAGGCGACGAUCUAUAGCUGGUCUGAGAGGAUGACCAGCCUCACUGGGACUGAGACACGGCCCAGACUCCUACGGGAGGCAGCAGUGGGGAAUAUUGGACAAUGGGGGCAACCCUGAUCCAGCCAUGCCGCGUGAAUGAUGAAGGCCUUCGGGUUGUAAAGUUCUUUUGACGGGGACGAUGAUGACGGUACCCGUAGAAUAAGCACCGGCUAACUUCGUGCCAGCAGCCGCGGUAAUACGAAGGGUGCUAGCGUUGUUCGGAAUUACUGGGCGUAAAGGGCGCGUAGGCGGUUUAACAAGUUGGAUGUGAAAGCCCAAGGCUCAACCUUGGAACUGCAUUCAAGACUGUUUUACUUGAAUUCGGUAGGAGGAUGGUGGAAUUCCCAGUGUAGAGGUGAAAUUCGUAGAGAUUGGGAAGAAUAUCCGUGGCGAAGGCGGCCAUCUGGACCGACAUUGACGCUGAGGCGCGAAAGCGUGGGGAGCAAACAGGAUUAGAUACCCUGGUAGUCCACGCCGUAAACGAUGCAUGCUAGACGUUGGAACCCUCAGGGUUCUUGUGUCGCAGCUAACGCACUAAGCAUGCCGCCUGGGGAGUACGGCGCAAGGUUGAAACUCAAAUGAAUUGACGGGGGCCCGCAACAAGCGGUGGAGUAUGUGGUUUAAUUCGACGCAACAGCGAAGAACCUUACCAACCUUUGACAUGUCCACUAUGGAUCUAAGAGAUUAGGUCCUUCGGUUCGGCCGGGUGGAACACAGGUGCUGCAUGGCUGUCGUCAGCUCGUGUCGUGAGAUGUUGGGUUAAGUCCCGCAACGAGCGCAACCCUCAUCUUCAGUUGCCAUCAUUCAGUUGGGCACUCUAGAGGAACCGCCGGCGGACAAGCCGGAGGAAGGUGGGGAUGACGUCAAGUCCUCAUGGCCCUUACCCGGGUGGGCUACACACGUACUACAAUGGCUGGUGACAGUGGGCUAGCUAAGCUCGCGAGGGGCAAGCUAAUCCCAAAAGCCAUCCUCAGUUCAGAUUGCUACCCUGCAACUCGGGUGCAUGAAGGUGGAAUCGCUAGUAAUCGCAGAUCAGCACGCUGCGGUGAAUACGUUCCCGGGCCUUGUACACACCGCCCGUCACAGCCAUGGGAGUUGGUAUUACCCUGAAGACGGUGCGCGAACCCGCAAGGGACGCAGCCGGCCACGGUAGGAUAAUCGACUGGGGUG
rnacentral:rRNA from 1 species